rnacentral:sRNA from 1 species
UUCGGUCUGUCCUUAUGUACUAUGACUGCAGCUAGAAAGAAAGCCGCUAAUUUAUAUUCUCCAAUACGUAGUUUUAUUCGUAAUACCUCGUCCUGUAGUUUCUAAGUUCAAGUCUAUUCUUCAGCAAAAAACCGCCUUUGAAGGCACUUUUACUUUUCUAAAUUCAGGUGAAUUUAUUAUGUCUAAUACUAUCCGUGGUACUGUUAAGUGGUUUAACGAAGCUAAAGGUUUUGGUUUCAUCGAGCAGCAAUCUGGUCCUGACGUGUUUGCUCACUUCAGUGCAAUUGCAAGCUCUGGAUUCAAAACUCUGACUGAAGGUCAGCAAGUUGAAUUUACUGUUACUGAUGGCGCUAAAGGCCCUCAGGCAGAGAACAUCGUUGCUCUGUAAUUUUACAGAUAACCUUGUUUGAAAGAAGCCAGUCCUAGUGACUGGCUUUUUUUG